GCAGACUCACUCUGCACCCAGCCGCAGCCCCCGGCGGGGUGCUAUUUUCCGUCUGCCACAGGAACUUGCGGGGGCUGUGACCUCUGCCCUGUGAAGGGCAGCACAGCUACCCCGGUACACGGGU
rnacentral:snoRNA from 1 species